rnacentral:rRNA from 1 species
UGGGGGAUAUUGCACAAUGGGGGGAACCCUGAUGCAGCGACGCCGCGUGAGGGAAGACGGUUUUCGGAUUGUAAACCUCUGUCUUUAGGGACGAAAAAAAUGACGGUACCUAAAGAGGAAGCCACGGCUAACUACGUGCCAGCAGCCGCGGUAAUACGUAGGUGGCAAGCGUUGUCCGGAAUUACUGGGUGUAAAGGGAGCGUAGGCGGGGAGGCAAGUUGAAUGUUUAAACUAUCGGCUCAACUGAUAGUCGCGUUCAAAACUGCCACUCUUGAGUGCAGUAGAGGUAGGCGGAAUUCCUAGUGUAGCGGUGAAAUGCGUAGAUAUUAGGAGGAACACCAGUGGCGAAGGCGGCCUACUGGGCUGUAACUGACGCUGAGGCUCGAAAGCGUGGGUAGCAAACAGGAUUAGAUACCC